CCCACGUAUAGAGCUUUUAACCGUGUCCAACUUUGACUGUCUGUCUUAUAUGAAAUUUUUUUAUAAUUCGUAUUUUCAUUGUUGUUAGAUGAUAAAACAUGAUUAAUAUUUUAUGCGUGACUUGUCUUUUUAAUUUUUUUCGUAAUUUUUUCAAAUAAGACGGACGGUCAAAUAUUGGGCACGGAAACCAGGGUUUGUCUUUUU
rfam:Oryza glaberrima chromosome 1 Oglab01_0189_15, whole genome shotgun sequence.